AAGAACAAAAACUAUAUAUAAGGGCAGGAAUGUUGGAUAAGGUUGCUAAACAAACAGAAGUCCCAAAAUGUAAGGUUACAUGAUCGUAAAUAUCG
rfam:Flavobacteriaceae bacterium CRH Contig35, whole genome shotgun sequence.